rnacentral:lncRNA from 1 species
UGCCAAGGAUUCAUAUAAUCCCGUAUGUCAUUCCCUUUGUCCUUCGGUAUGUUACUUGCUCGAGAUUCGAUCGCCAGUAUCCGCAUACCUAUUUCAAUCUCGUUUACCGUCAAGUCUCUUUACUCGUUCCGUAAUACAAGAUCCCGCAACUUACGCUAAGUCACAUUGCUUGCAAGGCUUGUGUGUGAUGUUGUAUUACCGAGUGGGCCCCGAGAUACCUCUCCGUUCACACGGAGUGACAAAUCCCAGUCUUGAUCCAUACUAACUCAACUAACACCUUCGGAGAUACCUGUAGAGCAUCUUUAUAGUCACCCAGUUACGUUGCGACUUUGAUACACACAAAGCAUUCCUCCGG